UUUAAAAAAAAUUCUAAUGUCAUUUUAAUUUUGAUUGUCCGUCUUAUUUUAAAAAAUUUUAUAAUUAGUAUUUUGGUUGUUAUGAGAUAAUAAAAUAUGAAUAGUACUUUACUCAUGACUUAUGUUUUUUAAUUUUUUUAAAAAGUUUUCAAAUAAGGCGGACCGUUAAAGUUGUGCACGGAAUGGUUGCACUUAAA
rnacentral:pre_miRNA from 1 species